GUGCCAGCAGCCGCGGUAAGACAGAGGGUGCAAACGUUGUUCGGAAUCACUGGGCAUAAAGCGCACGUAGGCGGUCCGCUAAGUCAGGUGUGAAAGCCCCCGGCUCAACCGGGGAAUGGCAUCUGAUACUGGCGGGCUCGAGGAUGGCAGGGGUGAGCGGAACUCCAGGUGGAGCGGUGAAAUGCGUAGAUAUCUGGAGGAACACCGGUGGCGAAAGCGGCUCACUGGACCAUAUCUGACGCUGAGGUGCGAAAGCUAGGGUAGCAAACGGGAUUAGAUACCCCGGUAGUCCUAGCCGUAAACGAUGGGCACUAGGCAGGGGAGAUGCCUAUGGUCUUCUCUGCCGCAGCUAAUGUGUUAAGUGCCCCGCCUGGGGAGUACGCUCGCAAGGGUAAA
rnacentral:rRNA from 1 species